AAUCAGAUUUUCACAUUUAUCUCUUCCCAACAUCAUCUCUCUCUUCAUUCUCUUUCUCUUUCGUAUUUUCGUCUUCCUUCUUCUCUCUUCCCUCUCUUCCUUCUUCUCUUUCUCUUUCUCUUCCUCCUCUAUUUUCCCCCUCUUCCUCUUCCUCUUCCCAUUCCUCUUCCUUCUUCUCUCUUCCAUCUCUUCCUCUUCUUCUUUCUUAUCUCUUC